UACCAUGCAGUCGAGCGAGACCUUCGGGUCUAGCGGCGGACGGGUGAGUAACGCGUGGGAACGUGCCCUUCUCUACGGAAUAGUCCCGGGAAACUGGGUUUAAUACCGUAUACGCCCUUCGGGGGAAAGAUUUAUCGGAGAAGGAUCGGCCCGCGUUAGAUUAGGUAGUUGGUGGGGUAAUGGCCUACCAAGCCUACGAUCUAUAGCUGGUUUGAGAGGAUGAUCAGCCACACUGGGACUGAGACACGGCCCAGACUCCUACGGGAGGCAGCAGUGGGGAAUCUUAGACAAUGGGGGCAACCCUGAUCUAGCCAUGCCGCGUGAGUGAUGAAGGCCUUAGGGUCGUAAAGCUCUUUCGCUGGGGAAGAUAAUGACUGUACCCAGUAAAGAAACCCCGGCUAACUCCGUGCCAGCAGCCGCGGUAA
rnacentral:rRNA from 1 species